GCCGGACACGGUGGCGUCACCUGUAGUCCCUGCUACUCUGGAGGCUGAGACAGAGGAUCACUUGAGUCCAGGAAUUCUGGGCUAUAGUGUACUGUGCUCAUUGGGUGUCCUCACUAAGUUCGGCAUCAAUAUGGUGACCUCCUGGGAGCAGGGGGACCACCAGGUUGCCUAAGGAGGGGUGAACUGGACCAGGUCAGAAAAAAAGAAGUUAGCUUUCUGUUCUAAAUCAAAACUCAAAGAUGCAGCAGCCUUGCCCUGCUCUCUACUAAAUGUUUGCCUCG
ensembl:misc_RNA Metazoa_SRP Metazoan signal recognition particle RNA